CCCGGGGUCCCCCUCUCUUUUGGGGGCCGGCUCGGUGGCUCCUGGGCUCUGCUUCCCGGGCCCCUCCUCUGGCUCCUCAAGGGCAGCGGCCGUCCGCUUUUGUCUUCAUGCUUGGUAGACACUUUAUCAUUUUUUCCUCUGGACCCUGAAAGGAGAGGCUACGACCCUCGACCCCGGCCGGGCCGUGGGUGCGGGGCUCAUGAAAGCCAGGGGGCAUCUUCUGUUGGAGAACAGGGAGCCCGGAAGCCGUCAUUGAGGAACUGGCUGCUGGCCGGGCCCCGGAAGACCCCGAAGGCCAGAAGCCCCCCGGGCCGGAGGGCGCGGGUCAACAGGCUUGGUUGCCACCUGGCUGGGGCUUGGAUUCCUGCCUGGGGUGCUGAGGGCUGGCCAGAGGCUCCGCUGCUGAGGCCCGUGGAGUAGGAGGGGGACUGGGGAGGGGGCCUGGUGGCCGGCAGAUGGGUCACUGUUGGUGCCCACCCCGAAUGGCCAUCCUGGUCCCCUUCUCCUGGGCUUCUGCUCCUCAGCAUCGAGGGCCACAGAGCUGGCUCCGUCUUUGGUUGGCUUUCAGAGAGCCUGAGUUUGUCUCCAUUUCUGUCCUCGGACGGGCUCCUGGCCCCUCUGGGAGCGGGUGGGCGGCCUUGGGGCUCUCUCCUGGGCCCUGUCCACCUUGCUUUUGCCUCGGGGACUCUUGCUGGUGUUCCAGGCUCCCUUCCCUCCCAUCCCCAAGAGGGAGCCGCUCAGCCUUUGGGUCCGGGGCCUCCCCCUUGCCUGUAUAUGUUGGGCACGUUCAUGCCAAAGCCAGAAGUGGACCAGGGUGGGGGGGGGGUCGCCCUCCAGACCACUCUGCAGGGCCCCUGGGGGUCUGGGGGCAGGGCUUCUGCCUCUCCCCUGCUCCAUCACCUGCUUUUUUGUGGGGGUGGGGUGCUUCCUUUCCCCAUGGGACCCUUGGAAAGACCUGGGGGCCUCUGGGAAGGAAAACCCAUCCCUCGCUGGGGCAGCCUGCGGUUUGCCCUACAUUUGCCCCCAUCUCUUCCGUGUGCCCCUGGAGCCCAGAGUGGGGAAGUCUGAAGUUCAGAGUCUGUCUGUAGGAUUCUGAGCGGAUCAUUGAAGGGCCGCCUGCCUCAGUCCCUCCUCUGUCACCCCAGCUGCCUCAGGGUGGUUGUAACUGUCUGGAGAGACCGUGCCUCAGAUGGGCUGGUCACAAGUCUGCGCCCACUGAAUUUGGGGAGGAGGGUCCCAGCAGGCGGGCCCGGGAGAGAUCAGCAAAAGCUUCCUGCAGGCCAUGGUGGGGGAGGGCAAAGUCAUGGGGGAGACGGAGCGCUGGGAAAGCUCAGGAGGGGCUGGGGGGUGGGACACGAGAGGGAGAGGGACCCGGACUUCCGGAAGGCCCAAGGGCCCGUCUUUGUAGGCGGGCAUUGUGGCCCCCUCGGGCACACAGGAGGAAUUCUUGGGAGACAUUGCUUUUCCACUUUCUCUCCACAGGAAGGUGUGAAAACUGAGAACGAUCACAUCAACCUGAAGGUAGCCGGGCAGGAUGGGUCAGUGGUCCAGUUCAAAAUUAAGCGUCACACACCUCUGAACAAAUUAAUGAAGGCCUAUUGUGAGAGACAGGGCUUGUCAAUGAGACAGAUUCGGUUCCGAUUUGAUGGACAACCAAUCAAUGAGACGGACACCCCUGCACAGCUGGAGAUGGAGGACGAAGACACGAUUGACGUGUUCCAGCAGCAGACAGGGGGAGCGUGGUAGGCGCCGGGGCCGGGGCCGGGCCCUCCCGGCCCUUCCUCGGGAAUUGUGGGAUCCUUCCGCCCCUGCGGAGGACACGGAUCCAGACUUGGCUCUCUCUGACCCGGCGGGCGUCGUCCUCGUGACUCGCGACGACCCUCGCGGGGACGCCACCACACCUCCAAUUGGGCCCAUGUGGAAUGUUCUCUUUGCUGAAGUAAAAGAUUCUUGCUUGUUUGUCUUCACUUUCCUUCCUUCUCUCCCCCCUUUGCUUUGGGGGCCCGGGUGCCGGCCCCCGCGCUUGGGAUGCUUUCUGGGCUGAAUCGUCUAAUCAUGUAAAUACUCCAGUCUAGUCAUGGCAGGGGGAGGGCCGGCGGGUGGCCAUCAGCCCCAUCACGGCAAAUCGCUGAUCCAUCGGCCAGGCCCCUCAGAGGAGGCCGGGGCCCUGCCCGGGUGCGCGGGCCGCUCCCCUGCCCCCAGCUGCCCCUCCCCGGGCAGCCCGGGGGACCGAGGUGGGCCCGGCCCAGCGUCCUGCGUGGGGCCCCUGGGGGGGGUCGUGUUGGCCCCGGCGGGCCCUGGGGGCCGUUCCCGUCUCGAUGUGUCUCUGCUGGUGUGACCCUGCCUGCUAAAGGGGCUCUCUGUGGGCACUCGCGUCUGUGCUCGGGCCUGUCUCCUUUCUGAUUUGUACGUCCUUUGUUGUCCUUUACUACUGUACACAGUAAAUAUAGUUUGGUACUCUGGCUCGUG
ensembl:lncRNA